rnacentral:rRNA from 1 species
UAGAGUUUGAUCAUGGCUCAGGACGAACGCUGGCGGCACGCUUAAAACAUGCAAGUCGAACGUGAAGCCCGGGCUUGCCCGGGUGGAAAGUGGCGAACGGGUGCGUAACACGUGAGCAACCUGCCCCGAAGACCGGGAUAACACCGGGAAACCGGUGCUAAUACCGGAUGCCUUCACCAUGUCGCAUGGCAAGGUGAAGAAAUGGAUUCCGCUUCGGGAUGGGCUCGCGGCCUAUCAGCUUGUUGGUGGGGUAACGGCCUACCAAGGCAACGACGGGUAGCUGGUCUGAGAGGAUGUCCAGCCACACUGGGACUGAGACACGGCCCAGACUCCUACGGGAGGCAGCMGUUAGGAAUCUUGCGCAAUGGGCGRAAAGCCUGACGCAGCGAUGCCGCGUGCGGGAUGAAGGCCUUCGGGUCGUAAACCGCUUUCAGCAGGGACGAUUGUGACGGUACCUGCRGAAGRAGCCCCGGCCRACUACGUGCCAGCCGCCGCGGKWUUC